rnacentral:tRNA from 1 species
CUGGCUGUGGCCCACUGGUUAGCAUUUCAGACUUGUAACCGGAGGGUUGCCGGUUCGAACCCCGACCAGUAGA